rnacentral:lncRNA from 1 species
AUGGCAUUUCUCCUUGGGGCUGAUCAGCACAGCACAAUUACAGGGAAAGAAAAUGUUCCUGUGUUUGCACAAUCAACGAGACCUUUAGAAAUAAGCUUUCUGCCAGCCAAGGAAAAGUUUCAAUGGCACACACUCUGCAGCCUCAGCCAAGCAACACUCUGUGGUAGGAUUUCUGCCAUGAUCAAAGGGCUACACUGGAAAUACCUCUUUCAGAAUGAUCAGUGCUAUAUUUUUGCCAAGGAACUGAAUGCGAUUUCUGCUCCACUCUUUGUCUACAGCAGCUCUAAUUUAAAAGGAAAUCUUUCAAUUACCAGAUGA